UACGUAGGGGGCAAGCGUUGUCCGGAAUUAUUGGGCGUAAAGAGCGUGUAGGCGGUCCGGUAAGUCAGCUGUGAAAGUCAAGGGCUCAACCCUUGAAUGCCGGUUGAUACUGUCGGGCUAGAGUCCGGAAGAGGCGAGUGGAAUUCCUGGUGUAGCGGUGAAAUGCGCAGAUAUCAGGAGGAACACCAAUGGCGAAGGCAGCUCACUGGGACGAUACUGACGCUGAGACGCGAAAGCGUGGGGAGCGAACAGG
rnacentral:rRNA from 1 species